CCCCCUGGCUAGACGGAUAUGGGAGCGAAGCGAGCCUGACGGCUAGUAUCUUAUAAAUGUGCCGCCAGAUUUGAAACUAAAAAUGGCCACUCGAUAAUGAUUAUUGGUGUACUGACCUCUAGAGCAAUAUAGAAUAAUUAUCCUAUAUUUUUCGCGAUUAUUUGGAUUUGAGAAUUUCAAUCAAUUUCUCGAUUCGCUCAUAUUCAUAUUACAAUUAUUGGAACUCCAAGAUAAAUUAUAAUUUCAAAUGUUUCGGAACUGUGUUCUAUGUUGAUUGCUCAUUGUUUUGUUGAAGUCAUGGGAAAAAUUCAAUUCUAUUUGUCAGUGAUUUACAGCGUUGACAAGAGCUGCAUUUAAUUUAGUGAAAGUACGGAUAACAAUGUUUAUUCUGAAGUGCUUCGUUCUUUUGAAUACAUUUUGAGGAAAUCUUAUACUCUCUUGAGGAAUGAUAUAGUAACAGAUAUUAAGAACUUUUCUGUAUGAAGAUACUUGUGAGUGGGGAGGAAUUCCAUUUUAUAAUAAACAUUUUCAUGAGAAAUGAAGGUUAUCAUUGAACUUUAGGCUGUUCUUUUCAUCCAUUUGGUAGGAUGUGGAUAUCCUGACCCUACAUCUCACAAGAAUUGGUAUUUGCUGAAUCAAAAUGACUGUGGUUAUCCGGUGGCUCACAGACAAUUAUCCACCUCUAAUGUCCGAUACGCAGAUGGCCAAUUUCCAUGGGUAGUUCUCAUCCAUAUCAAGGACCCAGAAUUAAAUUGUGACUUUGGACAUAUUAAAUGCAUGGGCUCGAUCAUCACUGAUCGACACAUUCUAACAGCUUCCAGUUGUUUCUACAGAUAUGGUACUGAUGAAAUUCCAGCGAGAGC